rnacentral:tRNA from 1 species
GGCCCGUUAGCUCAGUUGGUUAGAGCGUCGUGCUAAUAACGCGAAGGUCGCGGGCUCGAUCCCCUCACGGGACA